AUACGUAGGGUGCAAGCGUUAAUCGGAAUUACUGGGCGUAAAGCGUGCGCAGGCGGUUGUGCAAGACAGGUGUGAAAUCCCCGGGCUUAACCUGGGAACUGCACUUGUGACUGCACAGCUGGAGUGCGGCAGAGGGGGAUGGAAUUCCGCGUGUAGCAGUGAAAUGCGUAGAUAUGCGGAGGAACACCAAUGGCGAAGGCAAUCCCCUGGGCCUGUACUGACGCUCAUGCACGAAAGCGUGGGGAGC
rnacentral:rRNA from 1 species